UAACGGCCUACCCCGGCCAAACCCUAACCCGGACGAGGCUGGGCCAAUUGUGUGCCGCCCUAUGGGACUCCCAAUCACGGCCAGUUGUGAUACAGCCUGGAAUCGAACCGCGGUCUGUAGUGACGCCUCUAGACCGCUGCGCCACUCGAGAGCUUAAGAGAGAUCACUUUAAAGUCAUUUGCCUUGUUGCAAAAGUUGACCCAUCACUUUAGAGUGGAUUGCAGUCAAGAAGAUUCAGUUGAAAUUUAGACCGCUGUGCCACUCGGGAGCCCAAAGGGUGCAUAGCCGACAAGGUGCGAUCUGCUAGAAUCCAGGGGGGAAUCCUAUGAAGCAAGCUAGAUCUACUCAGGGUUUUCUAAAGCUAAUCAGCUUCAAUUUAGCUUCGCAUUUCAUAGGCUUCGCCCGUACUAUGACGGUGGAUAUUGCUCCUCCGUCUGCUGCUAACUCUAGCAGGCUUGUAACUACGCGUGCAUGUAUAGCACAUGGUUAGUCGGACGAUAAAACUCUUCAGUGACUUAAUACUGAAACGUCAAUAUAUGGGCGAGUAAGUGCCACAUUUUCAUUUGUGCUGAAAUCAAAAUUAAAUCAUAUUUUUCUUGCAAAUUCAGCAAGCUAUGGCGUGAAAUAGGAUUUUCGAAGUGCCUUCUGUAUUUUAUGAUUGUUAAUGCCGACUUUGGUUUGCUUUGGUGUGCUUAUCAAUGCACAAACACAUUUCCCACCACUCUGGUCGAUAAAAUAAUUGUAUUAAGUCAUACAAAAGUGUUACUGUGCGUGAAGUUUAAAAUGCUUUGUGUCAUUACUAAAUGGGUAAUGUGAUAUAUUUUAACAUUUUUAUUUUUUAACACAGACAUUUUAAUAAAAUAUUUAAUCAGUUGUCUUCCUCAAAUGAAGGAGGGAAUCUGAUUUCAUUGGUCCUCAACUCGUGGCUCAGUCAUUUCAUUCAGGGUAAGUGGCAUUGGCCGUGAGUUGCUCUUCCCUGGAGCAGGUUAUAGUUCUGAUGGAUUCGUUGCAUAUAAAUUUACCAGGCUUAAAAGGUUAUCAGUGGUGUACGGGAGGCCCUGAAGAGCCCGACCUCAGUCGAAUACCUCUCUAUUCUGAUGUAGCAGCUGUCACUUCAGGACCUACAGAGCCUAGUCUAGCUACUCACAACCAUAGCCAUCCAGUAUCCUCUACUAUAUACUACUUUCUUUACUGUUACAGCCAAAUCUUUACAUGUUUCCUAUCAGAACGGCAAGGGCUGGAGGUAAUCGCGCUUCUGAUAUCGUUGAUUUACUUUUAUUUGAAAUCACUAUUGGAGAACCUUGCCUUGCCUUUUUUGUAUUACUAUGGUUUGGUUGAUUUUUCAGUUUUAUUGAUACAACUAUUGAGAAUUGAGAGAAAUUACUUUUCAUCUUCUCUCAGGAUAUGGACAGUGCUUGUUGAGGCUUUAGUGCUCUGA
rnacentral:lncRNA from 1 species